GUCCACGCCGUAAACGAUGAGCACUAGAUGCUGUAGAAAUUGACCUCCGCAGCGUCGCAGUUAACGCGUUAAGUGCUCCGCCUGGGGAGUACGGCCGCAAGGCUAAAACUCAAAGGAAUUGACGGGGGCCCGCACAAGCGGUGGAGCAUGUGGUUUAAUUCGAUGCAACGCGCAGAACCUUACCCGGGCUAGAAAAAUUAGGAAUCCGUCAGAAACGAUGGAGUGCCCGCAAGGGAACCUAAGUCCAGGUGCUGCAUGGCUGUCGU
rnacentral:rRNA from 1 species